CGCGCGUCGGAAGAACGGUGCACAUGGUUCAUGCGGCCGAUUCCAAUGAGACUAAUUCUAAUUAAAAACUCAUGAGAAAUAAUUUCCGUUGAAUAACGACGACUUACUCUAAUUGCACCAUUAGACACGGUAACGCUUGCGUAACGAGAAAAAGAAGAAAAAAAAGAAGGAAAAUAGGUCUGUUACGAGCGCGGUGUUUACAUAGCUCUUUUCACAGAGACAGGUGUUCGCGGUGUCAUUCACGUCCAGCGUCGCGGCGCGUCUUCGUCUACGCGGCAGGUUCGUCGUUUUACUCUGAUACAGGUAUUUAACGAUACCCACGUAGAAAUUGUGGCGCGUGUGGAGUUGAUAGGCGAGCGCGGAGGACGCGAAUACCCUUGCAAGAAGUCAGCCGCGCACGCACGUGUGUACAUAUACACCUACCACAGCCUGGAGGGGUUUAUCAGCAUUCAGCAUUGCUUUGCUGGCACUGUUACACACUUUGCUUCAUUCUCGUCCCGGUCUCAUACAAGUGUUCGUUUACCUAGCCACCGAUUCCGUUCGAGGAACUGUUCAAGUGAUCCGAGUGCUCGGAAGGAACUAUCCCGGUACCGGAAGCGUACCGACCGUGUUAUUAAUCCUCCGCCGACUUCCGUAUUUUUCUCACUCCGCUGAUAUUUCAAUUUAUACACGAGGAAGCGGUCAUUAAGUUCCCGCUUAACAGACGAUGAGUAAUUACCGUACGAAUACGUUUCUGCUUUGCUGAAGACAACCACCGUUGUCCUCGGGUUACAUCAUCGAUGGUCCCGGGAGUACUGCGAGGACUCGACGCGGUUUAUACAUGGAGACAUGCCGAUUUCGUUGAAUACGAGAUAUACAAUGCCACGAGAUUUUCGUAGAUAUCAAAUCCGUAACGAUAACACGCUGAUACCGAUAUCUUGAUUGCGAGCGUCAGUCCAGUAUUGUCACCGGAGGGGCUCCAUUUCGCUUUCGUACUCUCCUACAUAUUUACCAUGGAAACCGAUGAGUUGUUGCUGUAUUUCGCUAUAGCGUGCGGAGUCAUCGUCGGCGCUCUGUUGCUCCUAUUCAUUUUGGUGUGCGUACUUUUCAUGAAAGUGAACCGAUUAACAGCCGAUGGUUGCAUAGCCGACGUUUCGUAUUGUUGGGACGAGCCACGUUCUCGACGAUGUAGGCCGACAAUCGGGAUAUGUCACGUCGAAUCAAUUAAAUAGACAAACGAGUAUGAUGGCAGAUUUUUGUUACACGAAUCCCACGAUUGUGCCAGGUGAACUGCUAUCGCGUCGUGGUUUCUCGAUGUAUAGCGGUUCCGAAAACUUCAACGAUGAUUACGGGAUGAAGA